rnacentral:rRNA from 1 species
AUUGAACGCUGGCGGCAUGCCUUACACAUGCAAGUCGAACGGCAGCACGGGGCAACCUGGUGGCGAGUGGCGAACGGGUGAGUAAUGCAUCGGAACGUACCUUUCAGUGGGGGAUAACGUAGCGAAAGUUACGCUAAUACCGCAUAUUCUGUGAGCAGGAAAGCAGGGGAUCGCAAGACCUUGCGCUGAUUGAGCGGCCGAUGUCAGAUUAGCUAGUUGGUGAGGUAAAGGCUCACCAAGGCGACGAUCUGUAGCGGGUCUGAGAGGAUGAUCCGCCACACUGGAACUGAGACACGGUCCAGACUCCUACGGGAGGCAGCAGUGGGGAAUUUUGGACAAUGGGGGCAACCCUGAUCCAGCCAUGCCGAGUGAGUGAAGAAGGCCUUCGGGUUGUAAAGCUCUUUCGGCCGGGAAGAAAUCGCACGGGCUAAUACCCUGUGUGGAUGACGGUACCGGAAUAAGAAGCACCGGCGAACUACGUGCCAGCAGCCGCGGUAAAAC